ACGAACGCUGGCGGCGUGCUUAACACAUGCAAGUCGAGCGGUAAGGCCCUUUCGGGGGUACACGAGCGGCGAACGGGUGAGUAACACGUGGGUGACCUGCCCUCAGCUCUGGGAUAAGCCUGGGAAACGUGGGUCUAAUACUGGAUAUGACUCCACGGUGCAUGUCGUGGGGUGGAAAGCCUUGUGCGGCUGAGGAUGGGGCCCGCGGCCUAUCAGCUUGUUGGUGGGGUGANGGCCUACCAAGGCGACGACGGGUAGCCGGCCUGAGAGGGCGACCGGCCACACUGGGACUGAGACAC
rnacentral:rRNA from 1 species